AGCUGGAUUCGCUAGUAAUCGCGCAUCAGCCAUGGCGCGGUGAAUACGUUCCCGGGCCUUGUACACACCGCCCGUCAAGCCAUGAAAGCCGGGGGGCGCCUGAAGUCCGUGACCGCGAGGGUCGGCCUAGGGUGAAACCGGUGAUUGGGGCUAAGUCGUAACAAGGUAGC
rnacentral:rRNA from 1 species